rnacentral:lncRNA from 1 species
UAAGCAGGGAUGUUGAGUUGGGAAGCAAUAGAAAGAGAAGCAGCACAGAAGAAGUCGACAAUUAAAGCUUUAAUGGUGUGGGUUUUGGAGAUAGAAAGUAGGGUUUGAUGGAGAUGAGGCUUGUUGAGACGAAUAACCUCAAAGGUGAGAGUUUCAUGGUUAUUACUCGUGGUUGUGGAAGGAAGAGUUAUGGUGGGAAGAUGGUGGAAGUAAACAGAGGGAAUGGUGGCAGAAACCAUAGAAAUGUAAGGGGAAAUGGAUCCUGCACUGUAAGGUGAAGAAGCAAUGAGUAUGUGAAUGGAAAGAGAAGGUUGGUGGGUUAGUAUGAGCUUGCCUAGCUCAACCAUUGAUAUGAAGUGGCUAAUUGCAGGUGUUGGGUACAAAACUAUUGCCUCCUCCAUAGCUCUAUCACCUGUUGUUUGUGUUUCGUAUGGAAGAGGGAUAGGGAGUAGAAACGUGUACACAUAUAGAGGAAACUAUUCAAUACAACAUAAACAUUAGUUGACAGUUAGUUGAGCAAAUACAUACAUAUAUAUAUAUAUAUAUAUAUAUAAUUAACAAUGACGAAAGAUUUUUUUUAUUUUUUAUUUGUCAUUUCACCUUUGUAUCCUUGUGCAAGCUUCCUUGAAGCAGCUUCCACGUCCACAACCAUAGAGACUAAUAGAAACGCUGGGUUACAUCCAACAAGCUUAAGUAUAAAAGUUUAAUAAACCAAACUAAAAGAAAAGGAUUUUCAAUGGUUGUCACAAAUUACAGACGGAAAUGCACCUACCUCAACACUGGUUGGGUCAUAAAAAACUUACUCAUGAAGGCAGCUGUUAGGAUCAGCACACAUUUGAUCCUAAUUAGGUUAGAUCUGAGAUUCAGUUUGGUGUUUGGUACGAAAGAAAAUGAAAGAAAAGGGAAGAAUGAGAGGAUCCAAAGAAGAGAGAGGAGAAAUCAGAUUGUCAUUUCAUUUGUCGAAACGAAUGAAACCUUGACACUAACACAGCGAAAUAACACUCCUGUUAACAGCUAGUGACUAAUGUUACUGCAAAUAACUGUACCUACCUACAAAAAUGCAGCCUUCGAAAACAAUUUCCAGUCUCAAAACCCAUAAUUUUUUUUUUAAUUCCAUUUUCAUGAAAAGAUACAGCGCAAAUCUGGCAUCCAAAUCCAUCUUUUCCCACUGGAAACUUGUGUUUUACCUCAGCGCCAGUCAUGCAGCUGCUUGGUCUGGCCCACCGGAUCUAAAACCUGGACCACGACCACGAGGCCUUCCCCGUACGUCCUUGACCGCUAGAGAUUCAGAAAUAACUAGGAAAAUCAACAUAUGCAUGAACAUCACAAGGAAAUGGAGCUGUGCCAUGUCCAAAAUAAAAUUGAGUUUACAACAAAUGAAAUGCCUGAAAUUUACAACAAAAUAGGAACUUACCAGGGGUUUGAGCAGGCAUCCCAGCCGGUCCACCAUAUCCGUUGUAAUAACCAGAAUCCUGCUUUUUUCCCCCACCAUGCCCUCUUCCACGUCCACGGUAACCCCGACCUCUUCCGCGACCUCUACCUCUACCACCAUAUCCUCGGCCGCCAUCCCAACCCCCAUUGCUACGUUCUGCUUCACCAUUACUAUUACCUGAUACGAAAAAAAAAAAACAUAAAUAAACGAACAAAUCCUGGAUGUUGCAUUACUCAACAUAAUAGAGUAGGUUCAUAAGUGACAUUGAUGCAGCUACAACCAACUUAUUCCAAGCAUCAGACAAUCAUAGAUAAUUAAGGAUAACACACAUGUGAGUUCACCAACUUGUUAUCCCAUUGUAGCAAAUUUUUUUUAUCUAUACAUCACUUGCACUAACGAUUUUCCCAGCCCCCUAAAAAUAAAAGUUCGGCUCAAACCGAGCCUUCAUUAGAGACUAUGUCGUGGCUUCACAAACAGCGAUAUUUCUUUAAAGAUAUUGGAUGAUUAAUAACAUCUUCUCUAUUUCUUCUUCAACCACUAAGACCUUUGCUUUGCAUGUUAAGUAAGGCUUUUAGGAAGGCAAUAUAGAUUAAAAACUGAAGUUAAGAUAGUGGAAACAAAAUACAUAUGCUCCAAGAAGAGAGAGGAAAAGGAAUGAGCAAGUACAAAAAGACAAAUGUCAGCUUACCUCGUUCAUCAUCAUAUUCAGCUAAUGGCUUCACUUGAUCAGCUGGGAUUGGGAGCUGAUAUCUGUCAUUUGAAAAGAAAGAAAAGUUCAAAAAGCACGUACUGUGAUCAUUAACUUGCUCGCCCAGAUCCUUUACACAAACCCGAUACUAAUUAGAGACAAACCAUCUAUAGUGAAUUAGAGGAUUCAUAAAUGAGAAAAAUUUUCAUUUAACUAUAUUCUAAUACCAAGAAUUAUAACCCUAUUAAUAAGGUGAAAAGUAAAUCCAACUAUCAAUAAAUCUAAAAUCUCCUAAAUUUAUUUUGCUGUUUACACAUUUAUAUUGCUCGGACUGAAGAUGCAUUUAGAUAAAAAUGUGAGGGAUAAAACUUACGUAUAUCCAGUGUUAGUCUGAUAUAUUAAUCCAAUCAAAAAAAAAAAAAAGAUUCUUUUAAAAAUGUUAGCGUUUUAUUUUAUUAUCUCAGUAUAUGAUUAGAAAUACUCUCGUUUUUUAAAUCAAAAUAUUAUUUUUGAUUUGUUUAGUAUAUGAGUGUAGAUAAAUCUUUCUCCUCUUUCAACGGUAUUGACUAAAUUUUGAACUAUUAACUUUUCAAUGCAUAUUGACUAAAUUUUGAACUAUUAACUUUUCAAUGCAUUGAAUACGAAGGACUUAUCUAUUUUUGAAGUAUGAUACAUUUAUAUACCAAAGCAAUAAAAAAAAUUCAUUGGUGAUAAAACUAUUUUUCACCGUUCACUAAAGAAAAAGAAUAAUAAUGAUACUAAUUUUUAAAAGAAAUUCUUUAUAGUAAUUGGUAAUUGAUUCUUGAAGAUUACGUUGGCCCAUUAAAUUUAUACUAUAUUAUUGAAUUUAUUAUGUUGUGAAAAUAGGACUAGACGGAAAGAAAACAUUAAAAAUUUAAAAGCUUUUUCCAUGACUCGAUGAAUCGGGACAAUGCAACUCGAGAGGAACCGCCUUCGCCUACCGCUGCUUUGGCUGCGAUUUUCAUGUCAAUGGCUUUCUCUCUGACCGAGUUACCAGCUUCCGAGUCCAUCAAUUCACAAACUCGCUCCUCCACCUCCAAAGCAGUAACAAAUCCAUUUUCGGACUCAAUGAUUGGCAAAGCAAUUUUCAUUUCUUCCACCAACAACACUUUGUUUAUCUUUUGCUCUGCAUAAAGCGGCCAUGCCACCAUUUGUUGUGUCCGUGCCCAGGGAUCCACAUAGUUUGAAAAGAAAAAAAAGAGAAAAACGUGUUAUUUAAAAAAGAAGAAAAGUUGGCAAUUCUUUUGACAAACUGGAGAGCCGUGAAUGAGUUAUACACGGCUCUCUCUUACAGGAGAGGAGAUUGCCAAGCCUCACAGCACACAAAAGAAAGCUAAGAAAAAUGUAGAGAGAGCUAUGUAGUUUUAUGAAGGGUUUCCUAAAAUUAGAAGAGAGAAAAAUAGUGAGAAAAUUAUUUUGGGGUGUUUUUGGGAAACACUUUGUGUGUCACUAUUUUUGUAUUCCUCUCUGUGUACCUACUAUUAUUAAUAGUGGAAGAAUGAUUCAGAGUUUGUCCCGUAGACGUAGUCCUAAACAUUUGAAGGUGAACCACGUAAAUUUCUAUGUGUCCCAUUUCUAUUAUUCCACUGCCGUAAUUAUUUUCGUAAUUUUAUUGUCGGUGCCCCAACAAGUGGUAUCAGAGCCGAUGCCCAACAACAGGUAUCAGAGCUGAUGCCUAACAACUGGUAUCAAAGCCGAAGGUUUCGGCAGGUCCAGCCGGUCAGAUAGCGUUACCGGAUCCGUGGAUAUAUUUUGAAAAUAAAUAUACCACGAUGAAGAGAAAAUUACAACGAGUCCAUUGGUGUUGUCCACUCGGAAAGACAUUGCAAAAUCGACUUAGUGAUGAAUAGUAAAAUAGUAACUCAAAGUUGACGGUGAAUAGUACUAUUGGUUGCUAAGUCCGUUUAAGUAAGCCCAGCACUAUUCACGCAUAAUACUAUUCACCUGUACAGUUACUAUUCAAGCAUAUAAUUACUAUUCGAGUAUACUACUGUUCACUUAUACAAUUACUAUUCACGUAUACUACUGUUCACGUAUACGGUUUAUGUUGGUAAUGAUUUUCUGCGCAAGUCAAAAUGGACAAGUAAAAUGAUCAGUCUAAAUGGCGGGAAUUACCAUAUAUGGAGAAAUGAGAGAUCUCUUUAUGGUAAUUAAAAUGCAUUUGCCUGUGUUUAGUUGAACUAAACCUGAAGACAAAACUGAUGAGGAAUGGGCUUUCGAGCAUGCGUCCAAAUCUCGGUUGUAGGUUUGGUGAUGAAUGUUUCUGUAGCACCUUCAGAAAUGGUCAAUAGAAGCUCACAAAAGAUUUAUUUGUGAUAGCUAAAGGAAUGACAACUCUGGCAAGAAAGGACAUACUACCUGGAUUGGAUGAAGUUCACCUAGACAAGUGUCCUGAUUGUAUGGCGGGAAAGCUAAACAGUGUAGCUUUCAAGAUUACCCCUUCUUCUAGAAUGAAGAAUGUAUUAAAUCUGAUUCAUUCAUUUUUGUGUGGACCAUUGACAAUGUCAUAUGGUGGAAAUCGAUAUUUUGUGAUAUUUAUCGAUGGUCAUUCUAGGAAGACAUGUGUAUACACAUUGAAGUCUUAUAAACCUGGUUGAGAGAUAGACAGGCAAGAAGCUGAAGUGUAUCAGGACAAAUAAUGGUGGAGAAUACACUGGGCCAUUUGAUGCUUUCUGCAAAGAGCAUGGCAUUCGACAUCAAACGCCACCUUCCUAAACGCCGCAACUGAACAGUUUGGCUGAGAGGAUGAACAGAACUUUGAUGGAGAGAGUCAGAUGUCUACUCUCACAUGCAAAGUUGUCUAAAAGAUUUGGGGUGAAGCGUUACUCACAGCGGUUUGUCGUUCACUCUGUUUCCCUCUACAAUAUGAUACUCUAGAGAGAGUAUGGUUAGGAAAGCAUGUUUCCUUUGAUCAUUUGCGAGUGUUUGGUUGCAAAGCCUUCGUAUAUGUCCCGAAGGAUGAACGGUCUAAUCUUGAUGUCAAGACUAGACGGUGUGUAUUCAUUGGCUAUGGCCAAUAAGUUUUAUGACCCCAUCCAAAAGACGAUUAUAAGAAAUCGUGAUGCUGUAUUUGUUGAAGAUCAGACUAAUGAAGAUAUGGAAGCAGAGUGCCAAUAGAUUUGAUGAAGACUCAACAGACAUACAGAGAAUCCCUCCAAUAGAACGCAGACAAAUUGGAGAUGAAGAAAAUGUUCCACAAGAACAAGAGCCAGAGUUAGAAAAUCCAGAAGUUCCCAAUGAAAAUGAACCAGAUGAAGAUUAUNNNNNNNNNNNNNNNNNNNNNNNNNNNNNNNNNNNNNNNNNNNNNNNNNNNNNNNNNNNNNNNNNNNNNNNNNNNNNNGUCAAUGAGUAUGUACUGACGACUGACGGGGGAGAAAGUGAAAGCUUUGAAGAAGCUAUGGGAAAUGAACACAAGAGGAACUGGAUUGAAGCCAUGCAAGAUGAAACGAAGUCCUUGCAUGAGGAUGAAACAUUUGAACUAAUGAAGUUGUCUAAAGGCAAGAAAGCUUUGAAGAACAAGUGGGUGUUCAGAAUCAAGCAGGAAGAACCCAGCUCCCACCCACAAUUCAAAGUUAGACUGGUUGUGAAAGGAUUUAAUCAAAGAAAGGGUAUUGAUUUUGAUGAAAUCUUUUCAGCCUGCAUUGAAAUUUCGAAAUUUAUGGUUUUUGCCAAAUGGAAAAAGAAAGAAAAAAAAAAUCCUCGAAAUUCAAUUCUACAAAUUUUGAUAUCUUUCUUUUUUUUUUUUUUUUAAUAACAACUCGUAGCCCUUUAAAAGUGAUAGAAUUUCCAUUUAUAAUACAUCAAUAUUAUAUAGACAAAUUUUUAAAUUAAUUGCGAGGCUCAAUAUAUCGAAAUACCAUUACGUGUUUCAAUAAAAAAUUUAAUUUUUGUAUAAUUAAAUUUAAAAUUAAGAGUCACAUAGCCAACCUAAUCCAUCACAACAAUUUUUUUUUUUUUUUUUUACUAAAUUAUUAGUGAAAUUUUCAAUUAAGGUGAUAUAUAAGAGUUGUAACGCUAUUCUUUUUGACAACCAUGUAAAUUAGAAUGAAACCACAUAAAAAUCAUAAUUAUUAUAAAAAAAACAAAAUGUAAAAUACAAAAAUUAACUAAAGUUAUAAAAAUAUUAAAAUUGAAGUUUUUUUUUAUAAUUACACGAAGUAUCAAAGCCAUGUCCACUUUAACAGUCUAUAAAUCCGAUUAAUUCAUACUCGCCCUCGGAAGCAAAUGGCUAACCGGGGAAUGAUUUGUACAUGGUUUUAUACUUUAUCUUUAGGAGCACACUAACGUAUAACAUAGCAUGGCUGGAUUAGGUUAAAGUUUGGUUGGGUUAGGUUAGACCAAAUUAUGUUUUUCUCUAAUUAUCUAUAAUUAAAUAAAUAGAACAAAUAAAAAUCUAGUUUAAGCUCAACAUGGCAUUAUAAGAAUAAGAAUAAAAGAGUUAUAUGUGAUGAUUUAUUCUGCGACAGAAAAAGAAUUAUUUAGGUAACAACUGCAGAUUUCAAAUCACUUUCUUAAUAGGACAUCAAAUUAUAGAAUAUAAACCAAUUAUUAAUGCUUCCACAACUCGGUGAGUCGGGUCAAUGCAACUCGAGAAGAACCACCCUCACUCAAUGCUUCCUCAGCGGCAAUUUUCAUAGCAAUAGUCCGCUCUCUAACUGAGUUACCUGACUCUGAGUCCAUCAACUUAGUAACCCGCUUCUCCACUUCCGAAGCAGCUACAAACCCAUUUUUAGACUCGUUGAUUGGCAAAGCAAUUUUCAUCUCUUCGACCAGCAACACUUUGUUUAUCCUUUGCUCUGCAAAAAGCGGCCAUACCACCAUAGGAACUCCUGCAGACACAGAUUCAAGUACCGAGUUCCAUCCACCGUGAGUAACAAACCCACCCAGCGAGUUGUGAUUCAAUGCUGCUACUUGAGGAGCCCAUGUCUUCACCACAUAUCCCCUAUCCUUGGUUCGAUCUAAGAAACCAUCAGGAAGCAAGGAAUCUAAAUCUGGGUCUGACUGCGGGGAAGUGGCUAAGGUUUGGUUAUCAGAAGGUGGAUUACGGACAACCCACAAAAACCUUUGCCCACUUCGUUCUAACCCAAUUGCUAUUUCUCUCAAUUGUUCCUUUGAAAACAAUCCUAAGCUACCAAAACACAGAAAAAUAACUCUUCGACUCGGUUGUGAAUCAAGCCAAGCUAAACACUCAGGCACACCGCCAUUUUUUUCAUUGCUGGACGUUAUUAAUGGUCCAAUACAGUAAAUAGGUGGCGUGGUCUUAUUGGGUAUGCAUAAUCCAUCUGAUAUUGCUUUGAGUGCUCUGGUCUCAAGAGAUUCAAAGGUGUUUGUGAUAAUCCCCACUGAACUUGGCAAACAAGCAGCUGAUUCUAUAAAGUAUUCGUACGCCUUAUCAGUGCGAUCAAGUACUGGUUUUGGCAUAUCAGAGUAGAGUAUGGGUGGCAGACCUGGUACAUCAACAAAGGUGUCGAGGCCUUUGAAACUUUUGGUAGUUUUCUGAUGAAUGGUGGGAAGAUGAAGAAAAAGGGCAAGACAGCCAGCACCUGAAGUAAAGAAAAAAUAAGCAGGGAUGUUGAGUUGGGAGGCAACAGAAAGAGAAGCAGCACAGAAGAAGUCGACAAUUAAAGCUUUAAUGGUGUGGGUUUUGGAGAUAGAAAGUAGGGUUUGAUGGAGAUGAGGCUUGUUGAGACGAAUAACCUCAAAGGUGAGAGUUUCAUGGUUAUUACUCGUGGUUGUGGAAGGAAGAGUUAUGGUGGGAAGAUGGUGGAAGUAAACAGAGGGAAUGGUGGCAGAAACCAUAGAAAUGUAAGAGGAAAUGGAUCCUGUACUGUAAGGUGAAGAAGCAAGG